AGAGUUGAUCAUGGCUCAGAACGAACGCUGGCGGCGUGUCUUAAGCAUGCAAGCCGUGCGGCAAGGGUAGCAAUACCCCUAGAGCGGCGGACUGGUGAGUAACGCGUGGGUGAUCUGCCCUGGGUUGGGGAUAGCCACUAGAAAUAGUGGGUAAUACCGAAUACGUUCCUUCGGCUUUGGCUGGAGGAGGAAAAGCGCUUCGGCGCUGCCCGAGGAUGAGCCCGCGUCCCAUUAGCUAGUUGGUGAGGUAAAGGCCCACCAAGGCGAUGAUGGGUAGGCGGCCUGAGAGGGUGUACGCCCACACUGGGACUGAGAUACGGCCCAGACUCCUACGGGAGGCAGCAGCUAAGAAUAUUCCGCAAUGGACGAAAGUCUGACGGAGCGACGCCGCGUGGAUGAAGAAGGCCGAAAGGUUGUAAAGUCCUUUUGUUGGGGGAAGAAUAAGCGUGGGAGGGAAUGCCCGCGUGAUGACAUGAACCGACGAAUAAGCCCCGGCUAACUACGUGCCAGCAGCAGC
rnacentral:rRNA from 1 species